rnacentral:tRNA from 1 species
AGGAUAUUAGUUAAAUUAAUAACAUUUAAGUUGCAAUUAAAAAAUAAUAAAAAAAAUAUUAUAUCCCA